rnacentral:rRNA from 1 species
GAUGAACGCUGGCGGCGUGCCUAAUACAUGCAAGUCGAGCGAACGGACGAGAAGCUUGCUUCUCUGAUGUUAGCGGCGGACGGGUGAGUAACACGUGGAUAACCUACCUAUAAGACUGGGAUAACUUCGGGAAACCGGAGCUAAUACCGGAUGAUAUUUUGAACCGCAUGGUUCAAAAGUGAAAGACGGUCUUGCUGUCACUUAUAGAUGGAUCCGCGCUGCAUUAGCUAGUUGGUAAGGUAACGGCUUACCAAGGCAACGAUGCAUAGCCGACCUGAGAGGGGGAUCGGCCACACUGGAACUGAGACACGGUCCAGACUCCUACGGGAGGCAGCAGUAGGGAAUCUUCCGCAAUGGGCGAAAGCCUGACGGAGCAACGCCGCGUGAGUGAUGAAGGUCUUCGGAUCGUAAGACUCUGUUAUUAGGGAAGAACAUAUGUGUAAGUAACUGUGCACAUCUUGACGGUACCUAAUCAGAAAGCCACGGCUAACUACGUG